rnacentral:RNase_P_RNA from 1 species
UAUUUUGGGUGAUCGCUAUAUUUUAAUAUAGAGGAAAGUCCAUGCUCACACAAUCUGAGAUGAUUGUAGUGUUCGUGCUUGAUGAAACAAUAAGUCAAGGCAAUCAAUGAUUGACGGCAGUGAAAAAACCUAAGUCAUAUGAUAUGGUUUAAGUAAUUGUAAAGUGCCACAGUGACGUAGCUUUAUUAGAAAUAAUAAAGGUGGAACGCGGUAAACCCCUCGAGUGAGCAAUCCAAAUU